GGUAUAGCUCAGUGGUAGAGCACAUGCUUAGCAUGCAUGAGGUCCUGGGUUCAAUCCCCAGUACC
rnacentral:tRNA from 1 species